CUGCGCUCGGGCUUCGGGAGGGUCUCGUGCCUGACCACGCAGGUGACGCUCUGCUCGUCCUGGAGGCGCGUGGGGAAGCGGAGGACGCUGCUCAGCGUGGACGUGCCGUUCAGAUCCUGCAGUCAUGCCCCCUCGUACUCGGACAUGUUUCACUACGCUGAGGUUCUUUGCGCGGACCCAAUGCACACCUACGUAAAAAGGUGACACAGAGCUGAUAAGGUUGAAAGUUGGCACAACCAGAUGCAAGGAUGCGCAUCAACUGGACUGUCAGAAAUGGAGUUGGGUACCAACCAGCUCAUCAAAACUGGAUUGUGGGAAAUGUAGGAGUUUGUCACAAGAAAUGUAGGCAACUGGUAAGAAUACAAUACAUCCUGAAACGGUGGUGAUUGCUGAUGAAACUACCACCAUCCAUCAGCCAGUGCAACAGGUGAUUACCAUGGAGACUGAAAAGCAGUGAACAAACCUUGUGACUGAUUUGAGAGUCAAACUGAUCUCUUAGGAUGCUCCUCCAUUGAAAAGGUUGUUCAGCUACAUGAAGGAAAUUCAGCUUCACCUGUAUCCUCUGGAUAAAAUAAAUAUAAUUCAAUUUCA